GGACUACCAGGGUAUCUAAUCCUGUUUGAUCCCCUUGCUCUCGCGCCUCAGCGUCAGGUAUUAGCUAGAGAACCGCUUUCGCCACCGGUGUUCUUCCACAUAUCUACGCAUUUCACCGCUACACGUGGAAUUCCGUUCUCUCCGCCAACCCUCUAGAUCUGUAGUUUCAAAUGCAGCUCCGAAAUUGAGCCCCGGAAUUUCACAUCUGACUUACCUAUCCGCCUACGCGCCCUUUACGCCCAAUAAUUCCGAUUAAUGCUUGCACCCUCCGUAUUACCGCGGCGGCUGGCAC
rnacentral:rRNA from 1 species